UACGGAGGAUGCGAGCGUUAUCCGGAUUUAUUGGGUUUAAAGGGUGCGUAGGCGGAUAUGUAAGUCAGCGGUGAAACUCACAGGCUCAACCUGUGCCGUGCCGUUGAAACUGUGUAUCUGGAAUGCGGAUGCUGUGGGAGGAAUGUGUAGUGUAGCGGUGAAAUGCAUAGAUAUUACACAGAACACCGAUUGCGAAGGCAUCUCACAAAGCAGUUAUUGACGCUGAGGCACGAAAGUGUGGGGAUCAAA
rnacentral:rRNA from 1 species